UCUGUCUUUGUAUGUGUUCCCUCAGCUGAAUGGAGACCAGUUAUUGCUCAUGACCUGUGUAUGGAAUGAAUAUGGCCCUUUCUUGACUAAAGCAUUUGUUGGUGUGUGACCUUCUACUUAUCUUCUCAUAGUAUUAUCAAGAAGAGAAAUUAUCAAGGAAAGGAAGUUUCUCAGAUUAUUGUUGGGACUUGGUGCCUGUACUAUAAAACCAUUGCUUCUGGAAGACACUUUUUUCAUUUUGUUGCCCUUGUUAUUAUUCUUCUUGUUAUUGCUGUAUAGGACAGAGAGAAAUUGAGUUAAGUUAAUUGAGGGGGAAAGAAAGACACCUGCAGACCUACUUCACCACUUGUGAAGCAGCCCUCCUUCAUGCAGGUGGAGAGCUGCCUGUUCAAACUGGGAACUUCACUUGGUCCCUGUGAUUCACACUGCAUAUUCUUAACCCACUGCGCUACUGCCUGGACUCCCUAAAUAGCAUUCUUUAUCAGCAUAUCUUCUUUAAUUAAAAAAAAAAGAUGACCAACUUGGAGUUUCAAUUCAACACAUGGAAAACUGUUAGAGAUCCAAUCAGGGAAUGCCAGUGUGACUAUUAUAUUUGGAGCAACUGAAAGUCUAGGGUUAUUUCUUAGUACUCUAACUUUUCCUUUGAUUGACCAAAAAAAAAAAAAAAAAAAAAAGAAAAAAAAAAGAAAAGGAAAAAAAGAAAAUAAAAGAAAA